rnacentral:lncRNA from 1 species
CUGUAUAUGCUGAGACAUUAGGUCUUGGCUCAAAGUCAUUCACAUGAGGUUUUUGUUCUUUAGGCUUGACAUUGUUGACAUAAGAUGUAGCACUAGGCCUAGGUUCAAAAUCUCUCACAAAAAAUUUCUCAUUUACAGGUUUGAGGUUCUCAACAUAAGAUGUAGCACUAGGCCUAGGUUCAAACUCUCUCACAAAAGAUUUCUCAUUUUCAGGUUUGAGGUUCUCAACAUAAGAUGUAGCGCUAGGCCUAGGCUCAAAAUCUCUCACAAAAGAUUUCUCAUCUUUAGGGUGCGGUUACGACAUAAGAUGUAGCGCUAGGCCUAGGCUCAAAAUCUCUCACAAAAGAUUUCUCAUCUUCAGGGUUGUGGUUUCCAACAUAAGAUGUAGCGCUAGGCCUAGGCUCAAAAUCUCUCACAAAAGAUUUCUCAUCUUCAGGGUUGAGGUUUCCAACAUAAGAUGUAGCGCUAGGCCUAGGCUCAAAAUCUCUCACAAAAGAUUUCUCGUCUUGAGGCUUGAGGUUUCCAACAUAAGAUGUAGCGCUAGGUCUGGGCUCAAAAUCUCUCACAAAAGAUUUAUCAUCUUCAGGCUUGAGGUUUUGAACAUAAGAUGUAGUGCUAGGCCUUGGCUCAAAAUCUCUCACAAAAGAUUUUUCUAGUUUUGGCUUAAGAUUAGCAACAUAGGCUGUAGCGCUUGGUCUCGGAUCAAAGUUUCUCACAAAACCUAUAUCAUGAUUGACAUCAGUAUGAGCCAUGGUGCUAGCCCUUUGCUUUGCAAAAGAUUCCUCGUAUUUAGGUUUGACAUCGAAGAUUG